GACGAAGGUGGCAAGCGUUGUUCGGAUUCACUGGGCAUAAAGGGCGCGUAGGCGGUUCCGCAAGCGGCGUGUGAAAUCCCCCGGCUCAACCGGGGAAGGGCAUGCCGAACUGCGGUUCUAGAGGGCGGGAGGGGGGACUGGAACUCUCGGUGGAGCGGUGAAAUGCGUAGAUAUCGAGAGGAACACCGGUGGCGAAGGCGAGUCCCUGGUCCGCAUCUGACGCUGAGGCGCGAAAGCGUGGGUAGCAAACAGG
rnacentral:rRNA from 1 species